AUGGCCUGGUGCCAUCUCCCCGCACCCCCCCCUCCGAGUGGCGACACGGGGUUCUUCGACUGGUGGUCCACAGUUUCAUCCUCUGCACUAGCAUGUCAACGCAAGGGUAUCCAUUCCCUCAUCAUUCUUACGGUGUGGUCUAUAUGGAAGCACUGGAACGUCUCCCUCUUCCACGGCGCUUGCCCAUCUUCCACUCAACUCUCUGAUGACAUCAAGCAGGAGGCCCGGUUAUGGGCUAGAGCUGGCGCCAAAGGACUAGAUAGGUUAUUGCAUGUAACAUGA
rnacentral:rRNA from 1 species